AGCUGAGAGGUGGUGCAUGGCCGUCGUCAGUUCGUACUGUGAAGCAUCCUGUUAAGUCAGGCACGAGCGAGACCCACGUCCACAGUUGCCAGCAUACCCUCCGGGGUGAUGGGUACACUGUGGAGACCGCCGCUGCUAAAGCGGAGGAAGGAGUGGGCAACGGUAGGUCAGUAUGCCCCGAAUCUCCCGGGCUACACGCGGGCUACAAUGGUUGGUACAAUGGGCAUCUACCCCGAAAGGGGAAGGAAAUCUCUUAAAGCCAAUCGUAGUUCGGAUUGAGGGCUGCAACUCGCCCUCAUGAAGCUGGAAUCCGUAGUAAUCGCGUUUCAACAGAACGCGGUGAAUACGUCCCUGCUCCUU
rnacentral:rRNA from 1 species